CAAUAGCGUAUAUUUAAGUUGUUGCAGUUAAAAAGCUCGUAGUUGGAUUUCGGAUGGGACUUGCCGGUCCGUCGUUUCGAUGUGCACUGGCCAGUCCUAUCUUGUUGUCGGGGACUAGCUCCUGGGCUUCACUGUCCGGGACUAGGAGCUGACGAGGUUACUUUGAGUAAAUUAGAGUGUUCAAAGCAAGCCUACGCUCUGAAUACAUUAGCAUGGAAUAACACGAUAGGACUCUGGCUUAUCUUGUUGGUCUGUGAGACCAGAGUAAUGAUUAAGAGGGACAGUCGGGGGCAUUCGUAUUUCAUUGUCAGAGGUGAAAUUCUUGGAUUUAUGAAAGACGAACUUCUGCGAAAGCAUUUGUCAAGGAUGUCUUCUUUAA
rnacentral:rRNA from 1 species